GCAGUGGUGGGUCAGCGGCAGAAUUCUCACCUUCUGUGUGGGAAACCUGGGUUCAAUUCCUGGCCAAUACA
rnacentral:tRNA from 1 species